rnacentral:rRNA from 1 species
GGAUUUGUGGUUGGAAGGUCCGCCGUUGCUAUGCUUCGUGUUGGAUUUUUCCGUCCAUCCUUGGGUGGAUCCUGUGUGGCAUUCAGUUGUCGUGCAGGGGAUGCCCAUCGUUUACUGUGAAAAAAUUAGAGUGUUCAAAGCAGGCUUACGCCUUGAAUAUAUUAGCAUGGAAUAAUAAGAUAGGACCUGGGUACUAUUUUGUUGGUUUGCGCACCGAGGUAAUGAUUAAUAGGGACAGUUGGGGGUAUUCGUAUUCCAUUGUCAGAGGUGAAAUUCUUGGAUUUUUGGAAGACGAACUACUGCGAAAGCAUUUACCAAGGAUGUUUUCAUUAAUCAAGAACGAAAGUUAGGGGAUCGAAGAUGAUUAGAU